rnacentral:rRNA from 1 species
UACGACUACAUAUCAGGCAUAUCAAUAAGCGGAGGAAAAGAAACUAACAAGGAUUCCCCUAGUAACGGCGAGUGAAGCGGGAAGAGCUCAAAUUUGAAAUCUUAAAGGGUUUCCCUUUACGAAUUGUAGUUUAAAGAAGUGUUUUCUGUUGGAGUUUCGGUAAAAGUUCUUUGGAAUAGGACAUCAUAGAGGGUGAGAAUCCCGUAUUUGACCGCUACUUUCCAGCUGUGUGAUACACUUUCAAAGAGUCGGAUUGUUUGGGAAUGCAGUCCAAAAUGGGUGGUAAAUUUCAUCUAAAGCUAAAUAUUGGCGAGAGACCGAUAGCGAACAAGUACCGUGAGGGAAAGAUGAAAAGAACUUUGAAAAGAGAGUUAAACAGUACGUGAAAUUGUCAAAAGGGAAGCGUUUGACACCAGUGUUGUUUAGUUGAAAAUCAAUUCAAUAGUUUUUGAUUCUAAGUAGUAUUGACUUCAUCAGCUUGCUGCUUUCUUCUCAGAAAUUAUUGAAUGCACUUUUCAGUUAACAAGUCAACAUCAAUUUCUUUUGUUGUAAAAGGGUAAGAGGAAGGUGGCUUGCGCUUCGGCUCAAGUGUUUAUAGUCCUUUUAUCUCUGCAAUCGGAGAGAUUGAGGUCUGCAGCGUAGAUCCUUCGGGGUUAGAUACAUUGGUGCUAAGCUAUAGCCUUGUAUAGACAACUUGUUGACUAUGCUCAGUCAUGUAGCUUACUCGCUGAUGCUAUUUUACCUACGCUUAGGAUGUUGAACGCGCACAGAGUCUC